GGGAGAUGUUAAAUUUAGGAAAUAUAAAGUCAGUUAACUCCUAUACCAUUAGUUUUUCAUUUAGGAACUAGUAAUUGAUUGGGAGUUGAUUUAAGUUGGUAGGUUGCAUUAGGUCUCAUAUCUUUAUUUGGCACUGUGUCAGAUCUUCUGUUAUUUGUUAACAUAAUUUUCUAGACAUAGUAGUGCUAGAAUAUAUAAAUGAGAGAAUUUAUGGGAGUCAAAUAGAACCUUGUAGCUGCGAGAAUCUCCGUAAACUUGUAUUAGUGUUGUUUCAUCGGUUAACACAGUUUUGGCAUUCUAAUGCUGAAAUCUUGGUGUGUCUUUCUCACUCCAUUUUUCCCUUUCUAAUUUGUUUUGUAUGUGCUAUUGGAUCCAAAUUAAUACUUUUUGGAGAAUUGGAACUCAUGACAUCAUCUACUGAUGACCGAGUCCCUUUCAACUCUGCCCAUAAGUAGAAAUGCCAGUAACCUCAGGCUUGGAUUUAACCUUGUAGUUGCCUGUGCAUGUCACAAUAUGUAUAUAUGAGCAAAUACAGUAAUCUAGUUGCCAAAAUAAGAACAAUGAUGGUGAUUGUAUAUAUUUAAUCAUAUGUUAUAUGUCCACUUAACAUGCCACAAGAGAUGCUGAUAAUGGCUGUUUUCAGUUAUCAGUGACAAUCUGCCUAGUGAUGUUUCAUGAUAUGUAGCCCAAUAGGGUAGCUCAAAGCUCAAUGCCUAGUUUGUGAGAAUUAGUCCCUUGGCAUUGUGAAUUUGAGAUCAUAUGUGAAUGGGUAAGAGUUAUUGGGAUUGAUAUGAGGAAUGGGGAGCUCACGUUUUAUGUGGAAUGACUUGGUAAAGGGAAUAUUAUGGGGGGUUAUUCUAUUUGUCUAUGUUUUUACUCUAGCAUGGAAAUUGUUAAUCCAACUCAUUCUUAUCUGACUGGUUUUUUAAAAGCAAAAGAUUGCUUUGUGCUCAAGAGAUUACCAUGUUUAGAUAAGAUCUUUUUUCUUUUUGCUACAUCAGAAAGGACGAAACAAAACUACCCACUGAAACCUACCUCAAACAAUUAGGAAAUGCCCUGGAGAUUCCAGGAGUCUCCUAUACAGUUGUGCCUUGGGACAGGAAUGACUCAUCUUUGCUAGGUGAGCUGCACAAUCAUUAGCCUUUCUGGUAAGCGUGGAUAAGCUGAUAGGACCUGGCCUUCCUAAUCCAAAGCAAACUUCUGCAAUAAUCUUGAUGUUUGAAUUAUCCUAUCCCAAGGAUGCACAUCUAAGAAGUAGAAUUAAUUGAAUCAAUAGCUUGCUGGGUGUAGAGAAAGUGGGCGAGCUUAACUCAACCCUAUAAGCUAGCUCAAGGGGUUAUAUUUAUCACUCUUGCCUUGUAUCCGAUCGAUGUGGCACAAUACAUCCCUCUCACGCCCAGGCAUGAACAUCUGGAGUGUGUAGUUUAUAGGACUGAACAUCUGCGGAUGGCCCAACAUUGAGAUAAAUAUUGGCUCUAAUACUAUGUAGAGAAAAUGGACUGAGACUUGCUCAACCCCAAAAGCUAGCUCAAGGGGGAGAAUUGCCUAAGUUUUAUAUUUAGCGCUCUUGCCUUAUAACCUAUUGAUGUGGGACAACAUUGGGAAUCUGUUUCAGGAACCACUUGUUUGAAGCCGCUCUUCCAUGCUAGGAGAAGACCAUGGCAAAUGCCCCCAGUUUCCCCCAAUGUAAUGGUUUCCAUAGCUAUAAAGAUGGACCUUUUCUUUGAUUUGUUGGGCUUUCAUCUUCUUAUCACAUGUUGAAUUGAAUAACAACGAGCUAGGUGUCUUGUGGUCCUAGAAGUUACUCUCUGAAUGGUGAUUUUCUUUAGUAGCGUUUGAUCCAAAUUCCUUUGAAUUCUUUAUAUAUAUGUAUAUAUAUGAUCCUGACUUCUGAAAUUGAUAUCAGAGAGGUUCUGUUUUCCUGAUCAAAAUGCCCGACUUUUUUGUUACACUACUAUCUCUACAAUCUCUGUUAAAUAAGCAGGAUCCAUUUGGAUAGAUGUGAAUUUCAAAUGAUUAGGUAUUUGAAUUUGAUAUGAUGUUGAAAUUUUCUAAUUUUUCACUUGUAAUACAAAUGCAAAUCCUCAAUCAUUUCAAAUGGACACCUAUCCAUAGAGGACUCUCACCUCUUGGUCAAUUUUUGGUGUCAUCUCUUGCAGCUUGAUGUUUUGUUGCAAUUUGUUCUUAUACAUUAUAUAAAAUUAUAACAAUUUCUUCUUAAAUGCAUGGCUUGUCAUAUUCUGUAUUUCUUUAAUAAUAUCCAUGCUGCUGACACCCUUUUUCCAAAUGUUAAUAUACAUUUGAGAUUUGCCUUAUUGAUAAUGAACUUUUUAUACAGAUGAAAGGCGAAAAGGAACUCAUUGAAAAAAUAUUGCAAACUGAAAUAAAUAUAUUUCGUGCAAUUCGAGAUGGUACUGCACUUAUGCAGCACAUGGAGGAUUUCUAUUACAUCACAUUGCUAGAGAAUGUGAGAUCAAAUUACCAGACAGCUACAAGGCUAGAAAGCAAAGAACAAGAUAGCGUAUCAAUCAUCUAAGACGACCAACAUUUGAAAUGAUAGCAGCCAAAGCUUGUGUACUUCUUUUCUAUACUUAUCACAGAAUAAAUUCUCUGCCACUUCUCAGGCAGGCUUCUCCAUAAAUUGCGGGUCCUGUAGGAAGCCCAUGAAAAAGAUUACUUGUACAGCCAUAGGAGAAAGAAAAGAAAUCGUACUUGUACAGUAUUCUUUUUAUUAUGAGAUGGUAAACUUUAGACAAGAUUUUCACAUCUUCAGUAGGAUGGUACCCAAUGUUAACGGGGCCAUAAAGCAUUCUCCAUAUCAAAGAUAUCACUCAAAAGAUUCUCUGAUUCUGUUGUUUCUCAUUGUCUGUACGUUGUUUAAUAUCUUUCUAGUUAUGGUUUGAUCGUCUGUGCUUCAUUUCAUUUGCACUGGGACUUUCGCAUUGCAUUUAGGGUUGAGAAGCAUGGAAACCAUCUCAGAUGCUAUAUAUGAGAGUGUUAUCUCUAAUUUCAUGUGCUAGGUGGUAUUCAAGUCCUGCUUUGUUUAUUUAUACAUGAUGGAACUUGGGAACCAAACUAGGUUCUGACGGCCAUCAUGG
rnacentral:misc_RNA from 1 species